AUGGAGAUGAGCCUAGUCCUGCUGUUCCUGAUCCGCACUGCCCUUUUUGCACCCCAGGGAGCUGCUGCUGAGCCCCACAGUCUUUGUUACAACCUCACGGUGCUGUCCCAGGAUGGAUCUGUGCAGUCAGGGUUUCUCGCUGAGGGACAUCUGGAUGGUCAGCUCUUCCUGCUCUGUGACAGGCAGAAAGGCAGGGCAGGGCCCCGGGGACAGUGGGCAGAAGCAGUCCUGGGAGCUGAGACCUGGGACACAGAGACUGAAGACUUGACAGAGAAUGGGCAGGAGCUCAGGAGGACCCUGGCUCAUAUCAAGGGCCAGAAAGGAGCCUUGCAUUCCCUCCAGGAGAUUAGGGUUUGUGAGAUCAGGAAGCCAGCAGCACCAGGGGCUUUAGGCAUUUCUACACAUAUGGGAAGCUCUUCCUCUCUCCCAACCUGGAGACUCAGUAAUGGACAGUGCCCCGGUCCUCCAGAACUCAGACUUUGGCUAUGAAUGUCACAAAUUUCUGGGAGGAAAAUGCCAUGCAGACCAAGACACACUAUUGCCCUGUGCAGGCAGACUACAUGCAAAAGCUAUGGUGAUAUCUGAAAUUCUGGAGGUAUCAGAAAAACAGUGACCCCCACAGUGAAUGAGAUGCACAGUGGGGCCUUAGAAGGCAAUGUCACCAUGAUGUGCUGGCCUCCAUCUUCUAUCCCUGGAAUAUCUCUCUGACCUGGCAUCAGGAUGAGGCAUCUUUGAGCCAGGAUGCCCAGCAGUCUAGGGGUGUCCUGCCCAAUGGGAAUGGGACCUACCAGACCUGCAUGGCCACCAGGAUUCCCCGAGGAGAGGAGCAGAGGUUCACCUGCUACAUGGGACACAGAGGGAAUCACAGCACUCACCCUGUGCCCUCUGAGAAGGCCCUGGUGCUUCAGAGUCAAUGGCAGCCAUUCUGUAUGCUGCUAUUGCUACUGUCAUUAUUAUUAGUAUUAGUAGUAGUAGUAGUAUUCUCUGUGUCCUUUGGUGCAAGAAGAAGACAACAUCAGCUGCAGAGUCCAGAGCACGUGAGCCUGCAAGGCCCGGAUCAACGCCCGGUUGGGACAGGAGACCACCAGGGCAGUGCACAGCUGGGAUUUCAGUCUCUGGUGUCAACUCCUGGGUCUACUGGCUCCACUGAGGGCAGC
rnacentral:lncRNA from 1 species